rnacentral:misc_RNA from 1 species
UAAUGACUCCAUGGAGGGUAAUGU